rnacentral:tRNA from 1 species
ACCAAUGUGACUGAUAAAAAGUAAUAAACUGUAAAUUUAUAAAUGAAUUAAUUUCCUUUGGUA